UUUGAUUCAUUUCAAAGAUUCAAGAAGGCGGGUCUUACUAAAUAUGAGUUUGUCAGGGCAGACACCAGGGAGAGAGUAUAGAGAUAUGACACAUGAGAGUGGGAUGAUGGCAAGGAGCAACUUUGUAUGAAUGAUAUCCCUCAUCCCUAAGUGUUUUGUUUCUGUCUGCGUCUAUUUGUUAACUUAAAUUAACUGAAACCAACGCUGAGCUCAGUGGACAGUUGGCAACACUAGAAGAAGAUCGGAGUUGGCUGACUCCAACCAUGCGGCAAGUGAGUGACCUAGAGUAGACUGACUGCGGGGAACAGGUCGAGCCAACCAGGGUUCAAGCCAGCCCUGCAUCCUGUCUGGUGGUUGGCAUCUGAAGGCAUUCAGCAUAUGUGGUGGUCUGUUAGUAGCUGUUUCAGCCUCACGGUGGGAGAGAAGAAUAGAGGAAGCACGGCAACGCACAGGACAAGAAGAUCUACAGCACAUCCAGGUUUCAAGGAUUCCAGUUGAAGGUGCAUUGUUCUGCAAAGGAUAAUGAUGAUGAGAACACCUUCAAAUAUGUUCAUAUUGGAGUCCUCUGCCUUCAGUUCAAAACUUGGUUUCUCUUCACCUGAACCCAUCAAAAGCAGGGAACAUCUUGGAGUGCAGUGUUGUCAUGGAU